UUUUUUUUUGUCAACUUUUCAUUUCAUAUUUGAAAGCCCAACUGAGCACAUACAAGAUACAGUCAACGGUCCAACCCCAUUACAACCCGUAUAUAAAAUAAACCCAAAGAAGCCCAAUAAUCGACAUUGAUUUGUCUUCCUGUGUCGGGUGACACAGCAAUUCCACGUGUUCCAACAUUCAAAGAAGCAACACACGUGUCAUCCAAUGCUUCUGCAUGUAGCAAACUCAAUUCACGCGCUUAGAAACGCGCCGCCGUGCAAAAAGAGGACUCUGGUGCCGCAGCUCCGCCAGGAAAUCCUCCGUUUACUCAAGCUACAACAUCGGACACAUUGAUCUGUUCUUGCAAACGCCUUCCACCCAACCGAGAUGACUUAACCGUAUUCAACUUGAUUCACCGGAGUUAACAUUGAGGAUAAUUUUAUCAGGUUGAAGAAAGACCAUUUGCCGGACCGUCAUAGACGCCAACUCUUCUUGAUCUACUCCAAGGCUGACUACAUAAUCCUUCAAACCCACACAGCUCCCGAUCUGAGAAGCUCUCUUUAAAGCCAAGUCGGCUAAAUCAACAGAGAGAGACUAAUUCUCUUAGGAAGUUGGCAAGAUGCGCGGUGAAACCAAGUAAUUCCGAUCAAUCACCAACGGGAUAUAGAAGAAAGUUGAUGGAAAGCGACAUAAAGUACUAUCAUCGAUCAAAAGAUUGGAGAUUAUUAUCUUCAACCACGAUCCGAGAAGGAUGAGAGUGAAGAUCUGCUCGAUGGUGAUUGAAGAAGACACUUCAAAAGUUGCCAACGCGAAGAUAAUUCCGCUACCGGAAUAGAGAUAAAUCCGCUAAUCGGAAGUAUUGAUCGGCUAAUCCGAAAACUAAAUCUGAUCAAAUAUCAGAAACAAAAAAAACAAAAGUUGGUUAUCUCUCCUCAACUUCAUCUCUGUGAAAGAUGAAGAUGCGUG
rnacentral:lncRNA from 1 species